rnacentral:rRNA from 1 species
UGUCCUACGGGGGGCAGCAGUGGGGAAUAUUGCACAAUGGGGGGAACCCUGAUGCAGCGACGCCGCGUGAGUGAAGAAGUAUUUCGGUAUGUAAAGCUCUAUCAGCAGGGAAGAAAAUGACGGUACCCCUUGAAUAAGCCACGGCUAACUACGUGCCAGCAGCCGCGGUAAUACGUAGGUGGCAAGCGUUGUCCGGAUUUACUGGGUGUAAAGGGCGUGCAGCCGGAGAGACAAGUCAGAUGUGAAAUCCACGGGCUCAACCCGUGAACUGCAUUUGAAACUGUUUCCCUUGAGUGUCGGAGAGG